rnacentral:rRNA from 1 species
GUCUAUGGUCAUACCACCUCAAGCACACCUGAUUACUGAAAGGUAAGCAGGGUUGGGACCUGGCUUGUACUUGGGUGAGAGACCCCCUGAAAAUACCAUGUAUUGUAGGCU